rfam:Zea mays cultivar B73 chromosome 5, whole genome shotgun sequence.
CUGGCAUAAUGAGGAAAACCUAGAUUAGUCUGAUCUAAUUGAUGAGAAAUACCUCCUACUCAUUCUGA